rnacentral:rRNA from 1 species
UACCUGGCGUCAGACGAAGGCCUGGCGGCGUGCUUAAACACAUAGCAAGUCGAACGGAGCACCCUGAAAGAGAUUUCGGUCAAUGGAUGGAAUGCUUAGUGGCGGACGGGUGAGUAACGCGUGAGGAACCUGCCUUUCAGAGGGGGACAACAGCUGGAAACGGCUGCUAAUACCGCAUAACACAUAGGUGUCGCACGGCAUUUAUGUCAAAGAUUUAUCGCUGAGAGAUGGCCUCGCGUCUGAUUAGCUAGUUGGUAGGGUAACGGCCUACCAAGGCGACGAUCAGUAGCCGGACUGAGAGGUUGGCCGGCCACAUUGGGACUGAGAUACGGCCCAGACUCCUACGGGAGGCAGCAGUGGGGAAUAUUGGGCAAUGGGCGCAAGCCUGACCCAGCAACGCCGCGUGAAGGAGGAAGGCUUUCGGGUUGUAAACUUCUUUUAAGAGGGAAGAGUAGAAGACGGUACCUCUUGAAUAAGCCACGGCUAACUACGUG